rnacentral:lncRNA from 1 species
UCCCUUCCUCCCUUCCUCCCUUCCUCCCUUCCUCCCUUCCUCCCUUCCUCCCUUCCUCCCUUCCUCCCUUCCUUCCUUCCUCCCCCCCCUCCCUUCCUCCCUUCCUUCCUUCCUUCCUUCCUCCCUUCCUCCCUUCCUCCCUUCCUUCCUUCCUCCCCCCCCUCCCUUCCUCCCUUCCUCCCCCCUCACCCCCUCUCUCCCUGCCUUCCCUCUUUCCUUCCCUCCUCCCUUCCUUCCUCUCUUCCUCUUCCAUCCUUCCUCCCUCCCUCUCUUCUUUCCUCCCUUCCUUCAUUCUUCCCUCCCCUUCUUCCAUUUGUUUUAGUUCCUUCCAUUCAGAGAGCAUUGUCUUAUGACAUUACAGAGGACUUUUGCUUCUUCCUGGGAAACUGAGUUCCACAUUUGCAAGGAGGGGGCUGUGGGCAGCAGAAAGGGAAUACUUUUCAUUUGCUCCUACUGAAACUGUCUUAUGAAUCCCAAAAGUUUUAAGCUAGAUGUCAAUCAAAAGGCAGCAGCUUUAUGCCACUUACAUGCCUUCUGAAAGAGAUCUAUGUUUCUUAUAGUGGGGAAACAAACAAACAAACAACUGCCUGAAAUAGAUUUGGGAAUUUUGAAAUGCUGAAUUUAAUAUGUGAAGUCUGUACUGUUUGUUAGCAUUCAGAAUAAAGCGGUCUGAAAUGUCCUGCUGUCACAGCACAAAAUCAAGAGCACCUCUUCAUCUUCCCUCGGGCCAACAAAAGGGGACAGGAUUUUCAGUGAAACCCAGAUGUUGCUGUGAGUAAAUGUGUGCAUUUAUUAACAGAUAAUAGUGGAGGACUGCAAUUUAUAUCUGCAGAAGCUGAAAUAAUUAAGGAGGGUUGGGUAUUAAUGGAUGUAUGUUUUGAACAAUCUCAAAAACUUCUUUGUGUGGAAAAUUAAGAUCCUUGCUGAUAUUGAAAUAUCUCAGAUUGUUGUAAACCCAUGUUUCUAAUAUUUUAACUGGGAAUCACUUUCAUGGUCCGGCACUGCUGAUGCUGCCCCUUCAGAAGCCAGAAAAUGUCAGAUAUCUCAGUAUUUUCAGGAUUGUUUUGUUCCCAUUCAGGCUGACAGACAAAAAGGAGGGUUCUGAGGGAAGCUCUUAUUUCCUCCCUUCCCAUCUCCCUUUGCUCUUGCAAUAGCACCAUUGUACAGCACCGUUAUGCCAAAUUUUUUACAUAGAGACAGACUCGCCUGUCCCACAUUGUCAUUUCGACACUGUUUUUAACAAAGAUGUAUUUUCUGAGGAUCAUGUUUGAGAAUAAAUGGCUUUGGGUCUAGCACUAGUAAAAGAAGAAAAGCAAAUCCAAAGAACCCACUCAUUGAGUUCAGAGUAGCUACAGGGCAAUGCUGCAUCUUGCUUUUUAGGUGAAAUCUGCAAUUUUGUUUAUCCAGAGCAAUCUGUAACAGCUCUAUGGUAAAGCUGCUUUGAGGUUUAGUUUUGAAGUUUACUGCUCCCAGUUUUCAUUUAUUCCAUCAUAAUACAUGCAUAAAACAUUUUUAUUAUGUGGAUAGUAAUUUGCAUGAGCACGAGGACUUUAGCUCAAAUGCUCAUGAACAAGACUGUUCUUCAGUCGGGUCAACUGGAAGUUAUUCUGCUUUACUACAGGGCUUUCAGUUAAUUAAAUUCAAAGAACCUGUUCAACUGCUAAGGCCUGUUAUACUCCAGAUAAGGAAAAAAAUACAUUUUUUCAUCAGUCUCUGGGGACAGACACUGCUGAUGCUCCUCCUGCUGUAGCCACAAUACAGUGGGCCACAAUACAAGUGAAAAGGAGGAAGAAUGUCCUGCCCAAAGUAUUUCAGUGGGACAUACACGUCUGUGAUGAACACAGAAAGGACUAUUCAGAUGCAUUGUGUUAUAUGGAAUGAACUACAUUUCUGAUCUUCUAAUGCAAUUAAUAUUGUGCUCUGCAAGUAAUGUAAUUAACACAGGAAAAGAGGAGUGAACUGCAUUUACAGUAGAAGUGAACUUUACCUAAAAUUAUCAUUUCAGAAAAUUGACUGUUCUUCUAACUGUUGGUAAUUAUUUUUUCCUUUUUUUUCUUGAGUUCCUCUUUAUUUGGAUAGGUAAUAAAAUUAGUUUUGAUCCUGCACACUGAAGGAGAAACCCUAGUGGCCACAUUCUGACUCUACUUGAACUAGUGUAGGAGCUCAUACGGAAAAUUAAGUGAAAAUCAAUUAACAGUUGCCCCGGGCAUUUGAAACAAAUGCCAGGAAUCCCUAAAUGUUUCUCAGUUCUGUAUAAAUCAUAGCUGACAAGUGGUGGUAUCUCUGCUUCCACUGAAAAUUUGCUUUGUUACAGUGAAAAUUCUUUUAUUAUAUAUAGUUGCUGAUGUACAUAUAUAUAUGUAUUAACCGUCUACAUUUUCUCAUGUGCAUCUUCCAUAAAUCUCCUUUUGAGUCUCUUCCAAAGAAACUAACCUAUGCUUUUGAAGAAAAGAUGACUACCUGGUUGAAGAAAAGGAGUAAUGGAGAACACAUUCUUCAAGAUAUUGGAUAGUAUUCACUGCACCAUCAGGAGAUAUCUUUGUUUGGUACAAAGUGCUAAAGCCUUAAAAGACUAAAGCCGAACAAUAAUGAAUAGAACUGAUUUCCCAUCUUUGGAUUCUAGAGUGCUGACAUGGGAGUUUGAAGACGGUGGAAGGAAUCUAUGGACUGUAUUUACUGAUGUAAUUCAAUAAUUAAAGAUAAUUGUACAAUUUCUCUUAAGCUUGUUGAAAUUCAAGUUUUCUUUUGCUUUAGGCACGACCCAAAAAAUGUAAUAAUAUUUACCAUACUACCUAAUUUAUGUAUGUCUUUAAAUAGUUUACAAAGUGAAUUGAUAAUACAAAAAGUACCCAAAAUCAGAGAGAGAAUUUGUACAGAUUUAUACAAAUCCACGAACUUGAAAAGCCUGCCUUUGUCUCAGAACUUCUAUCUUUGUUUCAAAGAGAGAAACUGGUACAUUACGUAGAUAGGAGAAAAGGAACUGAAGGGUAUAGAUAAAGGAGAAAUGAGCUUAAAGCCUAAGGAAGAGGAAAAAAAUAUAUAAUACAAUCGGAGUGAUCAGAGAUAAAGAACAAGAAAAAAUCAUCAAGAGAUUUUUCUUGAAAGAGGAGGUAGAAUGGAGAUGUAUUUUGUAGGCUACUCUGUUGGAUUAAAGAAGGCCUGAAAUGAAAAGGUAUGUGCAACAAAGGCGUGAGGCAGAUGGAAGGCUUCUCUUCUUAUUUCCUAAGGCUGAGGGCUUCCAGUCCUUUUUGCAUUUGGCUAAUUGCAAAGUCUGCAAUCUCAAAGGGUCACAAUCAUUUUCAGCUUUUGCUGGUGAGAGACACAAAGCAGACAACACUGCACGUUGCUCCUGCUAUAAUAAGAUGUCAUUUCAUCAGGAGGAGUAGACAAAAGGAUAGAUUUUCCUCUUUCCUCUUUUCCUCUGUUUUGCUUUGGGAUAUAACAUUCAGUUUCUCUCUCCAGUUUCCUACAACAUCACAAGGCCAGUUUUUGCUUUGAACUUCAGUAAUAUCAAGUACCUUCCAUGUAAAUGGUGCUUGAGAUAUAAGCGUAUUGCAUGGCCUCUGAGAAACCAAGACCACAUGGAAACUGUUCCCCCCCAAUUUCUGCCAAUAACAUCAGAUUUUGCAUUGCUUCCCCAACAAGAACUGCCCUGUAUCAGAGGCUAGCUUUGUGCAGGGGCUGAUGGUUCUGUAUAGUUUGUGUUUGUGAGCCAUCAAAGGCUUUGAGUGGGAGAGAGGAAACGAUGAAGGAAACCUGGAAUCUGUGCCCAUACUGUUGCAACCUUUCUGAGUUUACUUUAAGAAUCUUUAUCCAGCUCUUCAUCUUUUCACUUUGAUCACUGUAACAUCUCUUCACCUUGGUUUCUAGCUUUUUCCUUUCCCCACACCAUCAAUCUGCACAGAUGCUGCUUUUUCCAGUCAGAGCCUCUUUUGGCAUUUUUGCACUUUACCUCCAUCUUAUUUCUGAACUUCUGUUUCUCUUGUUGUCCCUCGGUGACUGUGUUUUUGCAUGCUGUAGAGAUACUCAAUGCUUUUUUUUUCUGUGCCAUGUCCUCAUUCUAUUCUAUGACCUCUUUUGUGCUGCCUGUACUCCAGGAGUGCUGAGACAAACAGGCUGGGACAGAACACAUCUCUGUGCUCUUCCUGGGAGCACAUUUUAUUCCAGAAAAUUUGUUCUGCUGGUCUCACCUAUAUUUCUUCAAUUGUUUAAUAUUAAGCACUUAUCCAGCAGCGUGAAUUACAAUUAUCAUGAAUUAUACAACAUGGCAGUUUCUGCCCUGCUUUGCUCUCAUUUACAUAACUGCUAGACUGUAAUCACAUUUUGUCUUCCAGACAGAAAUCUUCCAGACUUCUCCCAGGUUUAAUUGGAGGUGCUUUGUAAACCUUUGAUGGUUAAGGACACCAGAUUUUGGAGUGAAAUGCUGGUGUAUGUAUACCAUUUUCAGUUUUAUAAGAUUUAGACCUGACUUCAUGGCCACUCAUUGCAUCUUCCUGUUGGUGAGGGUUAUGGAUAAGGUGUGGGUAGUUAAAGAAGAGCAAAUGAAGCAUGCUAGUUCAUAGAGUUGGGGGAAGAAGCUGGUGCAAUUGUGAUUUUUCUUUUUGCAAGCAUCGUAGAGGCUGGCUUUCAGAUAAUGUAGAUGUGUGAGGAUGUGUUUUGUCUCAGGAAUCAAGCUGGAGUCCAAGUCUGACAUUCAUUACUGUGCUGUGCAUUACCACAACUCUAGAAAAUAUUCUUCCAGCAAUUUAAAUUUAAUAUUUCACAGUCACUUUCAAACAUCAUCAGGCUGGGUCAGUACUUUCCUUUUUGUCUUUAAGUUGUAAAAAUUUUAUCUUCUCUACCUAAUAAAACACAUGCUGCACUCAAAAAUCUCUCAUUCCUUCUUGCAAAGGUGACAUAGCGAAGCUGUACAUAUACCACUCUUGGUAUCAAAUGUAAUUAUUGAUGUAAGGAACGUAUCAGCCCUGGCCUGUGUGAUGCUGCUAUUUCAUCUGCAGGCAUCCUUCUCCAAGCCAUAUAAACACACUGCUCCAGUGUUGUGCUUUCUUCAGCCCUUAGUUGACUGUAUAACAUUUUUGAAUGAGUUGUGUUUUGUACAUAGCCCGUGAAAUCAGUUUGUGCAGCAAUUGGUUGCUUUCCAGAAGAGUGCUGUAUGAGUGUAAGUCAUUAAUGUCGUCAUUAUCCAAGGAAAAGGAUGAAAAUAUGCAGAUAUAUUUCUUAGUGUAGAUGUAAUUAUAGCAUUUUGCAAGACUAUUUAAAUAGUACUUAUUUGGCAUAGUGGUUGCUAUUUAGUUUUAAGCAAGAUGAAAGGUAGAUCAUUUUUGCUUAUUUUUGUUCCAUUUUAAUGCAGUGCUAUUAAACUAAGCAAAUUUCAGAUUGGAGAGAGGGAAGUAAUAGGAUGAUUUGAAAAACAGCAAUGAAAGAGAAUGAAAAAUGAAAAUAAUUGUUGUUUUUUAGAGAUAAAAUUAACGUCGCAAACAGCAGUAAAACCAUAACUGCCUCUAACUUUUUCAUCUGCUUCUAUCUUUUUCAUCUUGAGAUCCCAGAAGCUUGAAAGCACAAAAGAAACAGCUUGUGGAAAAUCUGUGAAGUCCAUCUAUUUCUACAAUAGGAUUAUUCAUCACCACAUGUUUUCCCCAUCUGGAAGUAAAGGGACAAAAUGCUGAAACCACCACCGUCUCACUUGCAAAUUGCUCCACAGUCUAACCAGUCAUGCUAUUGAGAAGAUAUGCCUGCAGUUCAACCCAAAUUGUCUGUAAUCAUGUUGCUUCCUUUCCCUUGUUAUCCUGAGUAGUUCCUCCCCACCCAUAUGUUUAACCUCUCUGAAAUAUUUGUGGAUGGCAAUCAGAUCCCUCUGAGUCACUGCUUAGCUAAGCUGUAUGCAUUUUCAGCAUCCUUCUUUUCUUGUGUAAAUCUUCUCAGAUAUUUAACCAUUUUUCUCCACUUUCCUGUGAAAUCCUCAGCAUUCACUGAAGACGUUAGAAUGAUUACCCCUGGCUGAACAUGGGAACGGAACAUGAGCCUUACACAGAUGGUCCCCUUAGUGGCCUGGGUUCAAGUGCAGUGGGUUGAGGUGCUCAAACACUCCUUUACCACGCUUGGAACUCCUGCUCUAUAAAUCAGGGCUAUACAGUCUGGGGAGUACUGGAACUGUACAGUUGGGGGAAAGUCCCAGCUUUGCUCCACCUGGACUGUGACCACAAUGGAAAAUUUUCUGGUUAAAGUCAAUUAUUUUGCUGCCGAAAGGUAAGGCUUCUACAGCGGCCUGUGUGUGGCUGGGGCUAUGCUACGAACAGUUCUUAGCUACAAAGAGAGGUAAAGUUCUCACUCUGUACAGCCAUGUCCACACUCUUACUAGCUGCAGCAUAGUCCAACUUAAUCACAUGGAGCAGUGCAAACAGUGUGAAGGAAUACCAUCUUCCAGAUUUCAGAGGUAAAACCAAUGCUUAGAUUAUUGGAUUGACCAAGCAUGAUAAUUAGACACACGGAGUUUUCUAAUUUUCCACUUAUUUACCACUGCAAUUUGGAAAAACAGUUGGGAAAUGUGAAACAUUCCAUGGGAUGGGAUGUUUGUAGUAUCUUUCCUCAGAAGAACGUGUGUAACAUGGUGUGUUUUAAUAAAUACUGCAGUCAGGGAACUGACUCUUGGCCAAAGCAGGAGCCUGGGAAGACAGAAAUAUUUGCAGCUGGUCAGUGCUUUCCACCUCUCCCUUCCCACUGAGGCCAGCGACCAAAAAGCCAUCCAUCCUGAGUGCUAAGGCGUGCUGGCCUCCCUGCCUACUUUCUAUCAACAGUUUUGACAGGUCCUCACUGAUUGUUGUUAUGAAAUCAAAUCUAUAUUUACAGCCAGAAAAUGCCUGUCAAAAUAUAUCUUUAACAACCUGAAAUUUAAUUCUUCAGCCGUCUCUAUAGUAGGCAUGUCCAUUACAGGAAAUCUUUCCUUCCUCUUUCCAUUAAAAUAUUUUCAAUUUGGCAUGCCAAAAAAGCUGUAUCUCAAAGAGGAAAAAAAAAAUAGUCUUUAGUAGAGCAAGAAGAUUUACAAAAUCAUUUAUUACCUUUGGUUUCCAAACUAAUCUUAGAAUGAGAGAGAGUAGUGCUAAAAUGCCUAAGCAAAGUGGGGAGAUCAUAGGACCACAUAACCUACUCAGGCUUAAAUAAUAGUAGCAGUAAUAAUAGUAGUAAUAAUAAUAGUAGCAAUAAUAAUAAUAGUAAUAAUAAUAAUAAUGGUAAUAAAAUAGAUGAGCUAAGUGAUUUGAUAUCUGAGCUUAUUAUGUGACAAGUGAUUGAAACUACAUAAGAGGAAAAGGACUGUAUGAAAAAUUAAAACUGGCAACACUGGUAAGACUGUGUGUCAGGAGAAGUAAUUGCAGGAAACUUCUGCAGUGCACAUUAAGACCACCCAGCUCCUCUGUGCUGGCAAGGUAGCAGAAUCUGAUAAGCUACUUGAAGAACACAUUACUGAAAAUCAGCAUGUCUAUUUAAUUGGCCUACAUUUCAUAGAGUUCAUAGCUCUCAUAAGAAGAGCUAAUGUCUCUCGUGUUUCUGCUUUGUUUAUAUCAGGAACUGCAGCCAAGUUCUUGCUUCUAGCUUUGCUUAGAGUUUCUCAUGGAUCUGGGGAGAGUGUCCUGCCAGUGACAGAUUGAGACUGAGUGUAAUUGGGGAUGCAGGAAGCUCUGUUGCUGUGUUUUGCACAUGUUCAACAAACUCAGCUUCCUUCUUGCGGUGAGGAGUACUCAAGAUGUGGUCUUAUCAGUGUCAAGCAUUGAGGGACAAGCAGAACAAUUCAAAGGCUAUGACUAUCCUUGAGACCUUGUAGCACCUGCACCUACAGAAACUGUCCACAGAGGCCUUACCGGACCAUGUUUUAUUGUCAUUGUUUCUGGGCAAAGGUUUUAUAAUGCAGCAGUGGAGUCCAUCUUGCUGAAGCAAUGGAGACAGAUAGUGAUGGAGCUGCCAGAACAACCUGUAAAUUAUCUGCCCUAAAAUCCUCAAAGAGCACUUUGUGCUGAAAAGAAGGCUGUUCAAGGCAGGAGGGGAAGAAUUUGAUCUUGCCUACAUUUGUUGUACAGGAACAGAAAGGAGGAGUGCUUUAUUCAUCAAGUGAACACAGCACUUUAAAAAUUCAACUAAGUCAAUAUAGGAAUACGUUUAAAAUGUAUUCACCUUCAGAGAGAGAUUUCCUGGACUGACAGAACUGCCAAUGGGUAUGAGUUAUUGCUUAGCAAAAGUUGCUGCAAAGGAUGCUGUACCCAUCACCUCUGUGAAGGGGUCUUAUGUGGAACAAGCUGCUAAGAAAGUUAUGGCCAACAGAAGUUCUGCCUUUGACUGGUGCUUUGGUAACUACCUGUGGGGAUAGUCUGCUGUUAUUCUAUUUUUCUUCCUUCUUUGUCAGAGAAAAUGGCAGUCUGGUGACAGUGUUCUUGAGAAUAGCAACUUCAUUCUACCAGGUUCUGCUGGUAGAGUAGAAGUGGAAAGUCCUGCCUGAGAAUGUGCAUUGUAGAAUCACUGCUCCCAAAGCUGGCAGCUCUGCCAAAACCCAGAACAUGAGUGCUUUGGGGAUGCCCUGGUAGAAACUUAGGUCAGUGCUGGCCUUGGGCCAUCCAGAGUAAGAUGUGAACUGCCUGGACUACGGCAUUACUGGGCAGAAAGAGUGUCUGAUCCCUUCAUGAUUUCAACUUCAGAUUUGCACACCUUAUAUUUACCUCUGAGUACUUUGUAGCACAGUUUGAUAUUUAUGCUUUGACUUUAAUUCAGAAAGAAUCUGGAGAGGAAUAAGAGAGAGGCUAAAAAUGUGCAAGACAAAAAAUACAUGUGUGAUUUCUGAAAUCUGACAGUGUUUAGGAGGGGAAAUAGAAGCUACACUGUUGAUUAUUUUACUUUAUUCUCCCAAUUGAAUGUGAUUUUUUUUGUUUUGUUAUUUUUUAUUUUUCUUUCUAUGCUAUGUAUGGAUGAUACCAGGCCAGUUCCUACCCAAAGGCUUGCUUAAGUGCUUUCAAUCUUACUUGCUUACCUUGCAUCUACAGUAACAAGGAUUCAGUUGUGAGUAAGCCUCAGCAUGUUACUUUAGUUCAAAUGAUUUCUAACUGGAAUAUCAGUGAAUCUUUACCUUCAGGUCAUCCGUGCUCUUUUGUAAGAAUGAAUUUCAGUAGCUUAAAAAUGCUCAGAGUUUGUGAAUGACAAUGAUAACUCACUGCUAUGAAACUUCCUGUAAGUGUGCACCCAUCUCCCUAAAUAAGUAGAAAUGGGUUUCAAAUAACAGGCUCUUCUGUUUAUAAGAGUGGUAAUUAGAAGUGCAUUAAGGAAACCCUCAUUUCAGAAGCAGGCGUAUUAUAUCUAUGAAGUUUCCUGCUUUUUUCCUUUUCUAUAUAUGUUUGAGGCUCCUGAUUGUCUAAUGAGAUUAGGGUAAAUUUGAAAUUAAUUGUAUCUUGUAUAUGUUUUUGAAAUAACAGGCAUAAAGCUACAUUAACUUGUUUCCAUUUGUGAAAGCAGCCUGUUUUCCUUGCACACAGCCGUGAAAGGAUGGAGUCCCAGCUUCCUUGCUUGGGUGCAGUGUGUUCUUGUAACUCAUUCUAAGAAAUGGAGCUGACGGGGAGCCAGACCUGAGGACAGCCAAACAGUAGACCUACA